GGGUUGUGAGGUUAAGCGACUAAGCGUACACGGUGGAUGCCCUGGCAGUCAGAGGCGAUGAAGGACGUGCUAAUCUGCGAUAAGCGUCGGUAAGGUGAUAUGAACCGUUAUAACCGGCGAUUUCCGAAUGGGGAAACCCAGUGUGAUUCGUCACACUAUCAUUAACUGAAUCCAUAGGUUAAUGAGGCGAACCGGGGGAACUGAAACAUCUAAGUACCCCGAGGAAAAGAAAUCAACCGAGAUUCCCCCAGUAGCGGCGAGCGAACGGGGAGCAGCCCAGAGCCUGAAUCAGUGUGUGUGUUAGUGGAAGCGUCUGGAAAGGCGUGCGAUACAGGGUGACAGCCCCGUACACAAAAAUGCACAUACUGUGAGCUCGAUGAGUAGGGCGGGACACGUGGUAU
rnacentral:rRNA from 1 species